rnacentral:rRNA from 1 species
CCCUUAGAUGUCCUGGGCUGCACGCGCGCUACACUGAUGUGUCCAGUAAGCACCUAACCUCUUCCGAAAGGAACGGGUAACCUUUGCAAAGCACAUCGUGAUGGGGAUAGAUUAUUGCAAUUAUUAGUCUUGAACGAGGAAUUCCUAGUAAGCACAAGUCAUCAGCUUGUGUUGAUUACGUCCCUGCCCUUUGUACACACCGCCCGUCGCUCCUACCGAUUGAAUGUUCCGUUGAGCUCUUCGGACUGCGCGGUCUGCAGUUUCUGCGUUCCGUGCGGAAAGUUGCGCAAACCUUAACAUUUAGAGGAAGGAGAAGUCGUAACA